CGGGGUCCGAUUGAUAUCGACUCCCUGGCAACUAUAACUUGUCGGCCACAAGAAAUGCUGGGAGAGGUAAAGUGGUACUUAAUAGAUGAGUGGAAUAAAAAAACAGAGAUCACAAAAGGACAAGAGGCCAGCUUCGCAAACAACAGUUUGGAGAACAUUGUUCAUCUGAAAAAUAUUUCAGGAAGCUGGAAAGGAACAAUUCAGUGUGUGUACACAAAAGGGCCCAUAAAACACACAGCAAGUACAGAGUUGGACAUAGCACUUCUGCCAGAAAUACAGGCCAUGAGCACUCCCCAAUUUCCUAAUUGUAGAAAUAACCAAUUCAAAAAGGCUAUCAUUGAAUGUAAAAUUUCAAACAAUACAGAAAAUUACACGGUUACAUGGAAUACUGCUCUUAGUUUCACAGAAAUAGGACCAGAAAUCCAGGGGAAUUUUUUAUCUUACAAAGCAGAGGCGAUCAUAAAUUGUGAAUCAUAUAUUAGGGAUAAGAAUGAGACACUGAAUGUUUCAUGUACAUUCACCAACAACAGAGCCAUUUCCAACAAAAAUA
rnacentral:lncRNA from 1 species